rnacentral:sRNA from 1 species
AAAUUAAGUACAAAAAAUAAAUAAAAA